rnacentral:rRNA from 1 species
GGAAUAUUGCAUAAUGGGCGAAAGCCUGAUGCAGCAACGCCGCGUGUGCGAUGACGGCCUUCGGGUUGUAAAGCACUUUUGGAAGGGAUGAGGAAGGACAGUACCUUCUGAAUAAGCCUCGGCUAACUACGUGCCAGCAGCCGCGGUAAAACGUAGGAGGCGAGCGUUAUCCGGAUUUACUGGGCGUAAAGCGCGUGCAGGCGGUUCGGUAAGUUGGAUGUGAAAGCUCCUGGCUUAACUGGGAGAGGUCGUUCAAUACUACCGGACUUGAGUGUGGGAGAGGGAGGUGGAAUUCCGGGUGUAGUGGUGAAAUGCGUAGAUAUCCGGAGGAACACCAGUGGCGAAAGCGGCCUCCUGGCCCAAUACUGACGCUCAGACGCGAAAGCUAGGGGAGCGAAC